AUGGACAAUUGCAUUGGUGCAAUAGAUGGGACACACAUACAAGUUGUGGUACCAGUUGCCACUGCUGCCCAGCAUAGGAAUAGACAUAAGGAGAAGAGUAAGAAUGUGAUGUGUGUGUGUGACUUUGAUAUGAGAUUCACAUUUGUCCUAGCUGGUUGGCCAGGUUCAAUGCAUGACAUGAGGGUCUUCAAUGAUGCCCGAUCCAGAUUUGGUGACAAGUUUCCAAAACCACCACCUAAUAAGUUCUAUCUUGUGGACUCAGGGUACCCAAAUAGACCAGGUUAUCUUGCACCAUACAAGGGUUUAACCUAUCAUUUCCAGGAGUACCGUGAUGGCACAAUGCCUAGAGGAAAAAAGGAACACUUCAAUUUCACCCAUUCUUCACUUAGAAAUAUCAUCGAGAGGUGUUUUGGAGUCCUGAAGAACAAGUGGAGGAUUUUGUUUCACUUGCCUAGUUAUCCACAACAGAAACAAAGCAAAAUCAUUAUGAAAACUAUGUACCAUUGUCUAUGCCAACGACUACAACAAAUGAUUCAACAAAUGAGAUGGACAGUGCUGCUAUGA
rnacentral:rRNA from 1 species